UAAAAUAUUGAUCCGGUAGGAAGUAGGUCUCCUCAGCGUUGACACUGCCUCCACAGGAAGGAAGCAAAGCACAAAGAGAAGAGCCGUUCGUUAAGUACAACCCACCCCUGUAUCAUACAGAGCAAAGCAUAGACAACAAAUUUCAGGCGAUUUAGAGAGAGAGAUGGAGCAGAGCAUGAAGGGAUUGGUAAUUGGCAUGGUGGGCGUGGCCAUAUCCUUCUUUGCCUACUCACAAACCGUCAUGUCCACCACCCAGUGCCUUACGAUAGGCUUGAUCGUUUUGAUGGCGGGUCUCUGCGUCAAAGAAGGUUUCCUGCCUUCCUAAUACCAUCCAUCUGAUUUCUUCUACGAUAGGCUUGAUCGUUUUGAUGGCGGGUCUCUGCGUCAAAGAAGGUUUCCUGCCUUCCUAAUACCAUCCAUCUGAUUUCUUCACUUUUUUUUUAUCUUUGAUGAAUGAAAGGAACGGGUCUGAGAAGUUGUGGGAUGGAUUUUGUCUGCAUGUAACCACUGUUUAAUUGUUUGAUGGUAUAUUGUUGUUUUAGUAGAUAUGUUGAUGAUAUAUUGUUGUUUUAGUAUUCACUCUAAAUGUGGAAUGCUACUUUGUAAUAAAAAUCCCCAUUUCUUGAUCCUAGUAAUCUCAUGAGCAUUAUAUGUGAUUGAUUGUGAAUUCAUUCCUAUCAUCUAUCUGUGUUUCUCUUACUGUUUGAGAUUUUGAAAUUCUCAACUAUUUUACUCUAGGGAGUGUUUUAGGGAUGUUCACAAGUGAAGGUAACUGUCAUAAGUUUAGAAAUUUGAUAAAGUGACUGGUUUGAAUCUGCGAUGUUGUUGACGAGUCUUGAUCGUUCGAUAUUUGGAUUGCAUUAAGCUUACUCUUCUUUUAAUAAUUCAGUGUGUAUGU
rnacentral:lncRNA from 1 species